AGCGAAUACAGAUGAAAGUCCUCUGUGUGCUUAGCAGUACUAAGUCAAUGUUUGACUUUAAUUAUUUUGCUCUAUGUUUGAGGGAAAAGGAGAGUGUGCAGUAAGAUUUAAAAAUAGUUCUCUCUGCAGUUGAAGAAAAUGAGUUUGAGAAAGGGAUGACUUUAGGUUUGUUAAAGAAUUUACUGAGGUGAACUUAUAGAGAUAUAAGAUUGGUGGUGAGAGGGUGGGGGAGAGGGGAGAUGAGGGAGAGAGAUAGAAAGGGAUAGGGAAGUUAAUUGUGAACUUAGAUUCUAGGACCACUGGAUUCCAUCCCCAGCACCUCAUAAGAUAGGCAUGGUGGCACACAACUGCAAUCCAAGAACGGGAGAGGUAGACUCAGGAAGGGCAGAAGUUCAAGGUCAUCCUCAGCUGCACAGUGAGUUCAAGACCAGCUCCUGUAGGUCAGGUCAACUGUUUCUGCGGGUGUCUGAAGCACCGUCUUGGCUCCAUUGCUCAUCCCUCCUCCCUCUCCACAACUGGAUUCCAGAAGUAUGGUUCAGUGCUUAGCUGUGGGUGCCUGUUUCUACUUUGACCAGCUACUAAAUGAAGGCUCUAGGAGUGGUAAUCAAGGAAAACAUGGAAGUCAGAAAACCACAUCUUCAAUGUGGGGGAAGCAAGCUGCUCCCAAUUACUCCAGUACUCAGUGGACAAGCCUGUGAGUGUAAGGGCAGCAUCAAGAGCUGCUGUCUUCUGGCAUCCUAAGUUGUGGACAUCCCUGUGGACUCUAAGGGAGCCCUAAAGAACUGAACAGAGAAAGAUGCAGGCCAAACACUCUGCAGGUCUCAUAUUAUGGGCUGGCAGGCCAUUGAAUUAUUAAAACAUCCUAUGAUUGUCACCAAUCUUUGCUUAUUCUUGAAACUUGUUAUUGCUUGCCAACAAACAGUUCUCACAGUAUCCUGAAGUCCCUAGUCACCAUGUGACAUGUAUCAGUGUCAUUCAGAGGCAAGUGGGGAGGGAGGAGAGAGUGGGAGGGAAGGAAGGAGGGAAAGAAGGAGGGAGGCAGGAAGGGAGGGAAGGAGAGAGAGGGAAAACUUGAGUUACAAUGAUGGUUAGUUUUAACCUUCAACUUGAGGCAAUCUGAGGUCACUUGGGAAGAGAGUUUCAACAAGCAAUUGUCUACAUUGGGUUGGCCUGUGGUUUGUGGUGGGUUAUCUUAAUUGAGGUGGGCAGGCCUGCCCAUUGUGGGUCCCGGGAUGUAAAAAUGUAGAGGAAGUGAGCUGAGUACUAAGCCUGAAUGCCCUCAUUCUCUCUCUGUCACUGAGGGUGUGGGUGUGACCAGCUCCUGCCACUGUGACUUGCCCCCAGUAGUAGACUGUAAGUAACCUGGAGUUGUGAGCGAAAAUAAACUUCCAUCUCUCUUAAGUUGAGCUCUACCUUGGCAUUUUAUCAC
rnacentral:lncRNA from 1 species